rnacentral:misc_RNA from 1 species
AGUUUUUAUUUUUAUUUUUCUUUUUAUUUUUCUUUUUAUUUUUUGUCUUUGUGUAUUUUAGAUGUUUUAUGAACUUUUAUUUCAUUCUUUGAUAAUGCAAUUACUUGCAUGGUUAUGCUCUUAUAUUUUCUAUUUAAGAACAAAUUCAACACAAAUGGCUCCAACGUCAAAACAAACUAUGGGCAUAUAUGCUGCUAAAAGUAAACUAUCACUCUUAAAAACUACCAAAAACUCCAUAUACAUGAUUUGAAAGUAUUAAGACACCUCCAUUUUGCCAGAAAUUUUACAAACCAUAACUUCAUAGCUGCUAUAGGAAAUAAUUAAGAAAAUCACUUUACCCAAACUAAUACUGAGUGAACAUACAAAACUAAGUCCCUUGCCUCUGCUGCAUUUUGUAUAACAGUCCAAUUUAACAAAAACCCAAAAUACCCCUUAUAAUGAUCCCAUAACGAAUGGUUAUUGCUCAGACUCUUUCCAUAGCAAUUGCUACCAGCUACCCCUACCACUGCUUCCAUACGUAAUUCUUUUGUAAGCUCACCCACUAAGAAACCACUUUUAAGUCAGUCUCUAUUAUAAGUAUAAAAGGACGUAAAGGCCACAAGUGCACCAUAACUUCGGCAACACCAUGAAAGGAUUUAUAGAACAAGAAGCAAGCAAAAUAUGAUCAAUCAAAGACAACGGUAAAGUAUUCAUUCUCUAAAGAAGAAUGCCCUCUGAUGAAAAUGUUAUCCUGAAGUACAAAAAAUGUAACCAGACUUAAUAUCAUUCAAUGGAUUAGAGGAGUGCUUACAUCCUUUAGCCCGACAUAUCCA